rnacentral:rRNA from 1 species
ACUCCUACGGGAGGCAGCAGUGGGAAUCUUGCGCAAUGGGCGGAAGCCUGACGCAGCAACGCCGCGUGAGGGAUGACGGCCUUCGGGUUGUAAACCUCUUUCGCGAUCGACGAAGGCCCGUCUUGUGGGCGGGUUGACGGUAGGUCGAGAAGAAGCACCGGCCAACUACGUGCCAGCAGCCGCGGUAAUACGUAGGGUGCGAGCGUUGUCCGGAAUUAUUGGCGUAAAGAGCUCGUAGGCGGUGUGUCACGUCGGCCGUGAAAACCUGGGGCUUAACUCUGGGCGUGCGGUCGAUACGGGCAUCACUAGAGUUCGGCAGGGAGACUGGAAUUCCUGGUGUAGCGGUGAAAUGCGCAGAUAUCAGGAGGAACACCGGUGGCGAAGGCGGGUCUCUGGGCCGAUACUGACGCUGAGGAGCGAAAGCAUGGGUAGCGAACAGGAUUAGAUACCCUGUAGGCUCUG